GUCCUACGGGGGGCAGCAGUGGGGGAUAUUGCACAAUGGGGGAAACCCUGAUGCAGCGACGCCGCGUGAGCGAUGAAGUAUUUCGGUAUGUAAAGCUCUAUCAGCAGGGAAGAAAAUGACGGUACCUGACUAAGAAGCCCCGGCUAACUACGUGCCAGCAGCCGCGGUAAUACGUAGGUGGCAAGCGUUGUUCGGAAUAACUGGGCGUAAAGGAUGCGUAGGCGGUUAAACAAGUUAUAUGUUAAAUAUAUAGGCUUAACCUGUAGAAAGCAUAUAAAACUGUUUAACUAGAGUGCAGGAGAGGG
rnacentral:rRNA from 1 species